rnacentral:tRNA from 1 species
GCACUAGUAGCUCAGGGCCAGAGCACCGGUCUUGUAAGCCGGACGCCGGAGGUUGAACUCCUCCCUUCUGCU